GUAGGGUGCGAGCGUUAAUCGGAAUUACUGGGCGUAAAGCGUGCGCAGGCGGUUCUAUAAGACAGAUGUGAAAUCCCCGGGCUUAACCUGGGAACUGCGUUUGUGACUGUAGGACUGGAGUGCGGCAGAGGGGGGUGGAAUUCCACGUGUAGCAGUGAAAUGCGUAGAGAUGUGGAGGAACACCGAUGGCGAAGGCAGCCCCCUGGGUCGACACUGACGCUCAUGCACGAAAGCGUGGGGAGCAAAC
rnacentral:rRNA from 1 species